ACAUGCCUACAACAUAGCGUUAAUGCAUCAAAUCCCAUUAAAAGUCUACAAUUAAGUGCGCUCAGGCUAGAGUAGUACUGGGAUAGGUGACCUUUUGAGAAGUCCUAUUAUUUUACAUGCC
rfam:Picea glauca, whole genome shotgun sequence.